CAAAAAGCAGGCAGAAAAAUGUGAAACGAUGAGACUGGCCUAGCCUCCCAGUCUACAUCUUACUCUUGUGCUGUAUGCUUCCUGCCCUCCAACAUCGGACUCCAAAUUCUUCAGUUUUGGGACUCAGACCGGCUUGCCUUACUCCUCAGCUUGCAGACAGCCUAUUGUGGGACCUUGUGCUCGUGUUGGCCCUCAAUGGAUUGGAUGACGCCUGCCCACACUGGCAGAAGAUUGCAACCUCCCAUUAUGAAACAGCAUCAUAAAAUGCAGAGCACAGCUACCCUGACUAAAACCACCUUUCUCCUCUGCUGAUACAGACAAACUAGCAGUAAAUGCUUUUUGAGCUCCCGGCGUGCAGAUAAAUUCCUACGGACAUCCCCAAUUGGACUGAAAGAUUGAGACACACAAGGGAGAGAAUAGCUGAGGCCAGGAGAAUUUAACAUGGCAAUUAGCAACCCUUCAACUUUGCCAGACCCCACAGCACAAGACAGGAUGGAGGUAACCAAAAAUCUCUCCAGAAGAGUAGUUGAUAAAUUGAUUGGGUCCCAGGGGUUGCUGGACACAGUUAUUAUCCAAUUGCAGGCCUGGAUGGUGUGCAAGUCUAUGUAGUGAAGUCAGAAAAUGAAACAGGGCUUUAAAUUCCCAAGGGGAGCUCCUUUGCUUAUGUAUCCAUUGCUGCACCCUUUCCCCUCAUUUUGGAAGACUCUGAAUCACAUCACAUAGUGUGUAUUAUCUUCUCUAACUGAACAAACAAGUUCUAAAACAUAAAAUAUAUAAAACAACUGUAACCAUUAUCAUCAAUGAUUCUGUUCUUAAGAAGUUAGAAAAGUAAAAUAUAAAAUUAAAAUUGAAAAUAUUUAAAGACUUCCAGAAUUUUUUUUUUUUUUAAAGCAGAGGGAGGGUGUGUGGGGGAAGAGGAAUUUUAAUCCUCUUUCUGUAUCAAUUCUGAUGGCUGCUUUUAAGAAUUAUUUUAACCAUCA
rnacentral:lncRNA from 10 species